rnacentral:rRNA from 1 species
GUGGGGAAUAUUGCACAAUGGGCGAAAGCCUGAUGCAGCAACGCCGCGUGAGGGACGACGGCCUUCGGGUUGUAAACCUCUUUUAGUAGGGAAGAAGCGAAAGUGACGGUACCUGCAGAAAAAGCACCGGCUAACUACGUGCCAGCAGCCGCGGUAAUACGUAGGGUGCAAGCGUUAUCCGGAAUUAUUGGGCGUAAAGAGCUCGUAGGCGGUCUGUCGCGUCUGCUGUGAAAACUGGAGGCUCAACCUCCAGCCUGCAGUGGGUACGGGCAGACUAGAGUGCGGUAGGGGAGAUUGGAAUUCCUGGUGUAGCGGUGGAAUGCGCAGAUAUCAGGAGGAACACCGAUGGCGAAGGCAGAUCUCUGGGCCGUAACUGACGCUGAGGAGCGAAAGCAUGGGGAGCGAACAGGAUUAGAAACCCUGGUAGUCC